AUUUCUAACUUAAUAAAAUUCAAAAUUUCACAAUUUCACAUAAUAAAUUAUCCAUAAUUUAAUAUUAGAAGUUCACAAACAACUUCAAACAUCAAAGUUCAUAACUAAAAACAAUCAAAACGCACAUAGUGACAAACACACAAUGCUCUACUAUCAAAAGAAACAUUAACAAACAAGUUUUCAACUAAAGAUGAAGAAUUAGGCCAAAUUUCACAAAAUCCUAUUAUACAGAUAUGCAUCGCUAGUGACUAACCUUCAAUAAAAUCACAAGUAUGAAUUCAACAAAAGUAAAGAAAAAAUAAGUUUCCAACUUAACUAGAACCUAUUCAUAACCUACUAAUCUUGUCACAACCCCACCAACCACCACCACCACACACACACACACACACACACACACACACACACGAAAAAAAGGGAAGGGAAAACACACCACACAGAGAACAACAAACAAAAUGGGUGUUAGAGAACUUGGAUUUUCUCGUUAUAUUGCUCUUUCUUAUUGAUCUUCUUCAUAUCCCACUCGGAAGACUUUGCCUACAGUACAAAUUACAAAACAAGCAAAAAUAAUUCCAAGUAACAGUGCUUACCGGAGCGAGGGAGGAAGGGGAGUGACGGCGACGACAGAGGAGUCGGAACUAUCGGCAAAGAACAGAGAGAGCUCGAACAGAGGAGACGACGACGGCGACACAGCUUCCUAGGACGGCGACGGAGCUUCCACACGCGACAUAGCUUCCUACGACGGCGGCAGAUUUUCCACACGCGACGCCUGUCCGCAGCGGAGAAGAGUUCGGCGAUGACUAAGAAGAGGGACGGUGGCUGUGGGGCUGCGUUUGGGGACUGGGGUUCUUUCAAUUUUCAGAGAGAAAUGGAGGAGUGGGACUGGGGCUGCGUUUGGGGGAUGACUGGGUUAGCGUUAGCCGGCUAGGGCUCUUUCUUUUUUUUUUUUUUUGUUUUAAGGGUAAAACGGCGCUGUUUUGAGGGGUGAUAUUGAACCGAAAACCCUUCAAUAAAUCAGUGGGUUUUCGAUAGUUUACUGGUUAAUUAUCGGUUCGAUUGGUUUUUUGACUAAUUUUUUGCUAGACAAUUUAUGAAAUCAAUUGAAUCGGCUAAGUGACUGGUUCUUGAUUAAUCUGAUAUUCUGAUUGAACCUCAGUCUGAUUCGAUUUUUUAAAUUAUAAUUCUAAUCUCAGAUAAGGUCGUUCCAAAAUUAAUAUUUAAUAAUACAUUACAGAGAUUUUUUUCAUGCAUCAUGUUAUUUAUGGUGCAUCGUGGACUACGUCAUCAAUGGUCACAUUUUGCUGGUGUACGUUUUUAACCCAUGACACGUGGUACACGUUAUAUUACGUGUACGUUUUUACAGAAAUUGUCUAUUUUAUUUAUUUUUUUAAUAAGUGUCUUUUUAUUUUUUAAAUGUAUCGAAAAAUAGUAAAUACCAAAAUUCUAAGAACCGGACCGGUCAUCAAAUCGUUUUAGUCACUGAUUUAUUAGUUUAUUGGUCUAACUGGUGGUUCAACUGGAAAAAUCGUUUUAGAAUAAAAUAAUAAAUAAACAGCAGCAGGGAGUCUGUCAUCUUCGCCGUCGUCGUGUCUUCUCGUUGUCGCGUCUUUGCCAGUCAUCGCAUCUUCGCCGGUCGUCGCUCUUCUCCAAUCGUUGCCUCUUUGUCGAUCAUCGCUUCUUCUCCGUCGGGUUUUCCAGGGCAGGAAUGGCUUAGAGGAUGGAAAGGAAGCAUGCAAAAGUGGAAGGAACAC